rnacentral:lncRNA from 1 species
UGAAAGCAAGAAGAUUUUUUUUGAUCCUUCCAGGUAUACUUAUAAACAAUGAUUCUAUUAUUUGAGUAAUUUAAUCAAGUUUAAAAGUGGUACUAGCACCAGGAGAAUAUUAAGACAAUACCUAUGAAGUCUUUGAAGAUAAAUAUAGCUGCAGAAUUUCCUUUUCACAGUUGUCUCUCAUCUGUUUCAUUUUACUGCCCUAGCCACAAGAGGAUUUUGCCAUUUUGGAGUGAUUCUUCACAAUGUCCAGACAGAUACUCUUUUAUAAUCCCUACUGCUGGAUCCCCAGUUUUGCUCACGUAGAUGAUGAAUGCACCUCAUCCUGUGUCCACAUCAGCUGCCCACAACUCCUGCUGCCUGCGUCCACAUUUCCCUCACUGCAGGGAGCUUGUGCGUUUACUGUGGUCAUGAAGGUACUUCAAAGGCAAACACAGGCAACUCUUGAAAUGUGGAUGAUGAACACACGCUGGACAGAAAAAAACAACAAUUCCUGCAGAGGGGCAUAGCAUCAUGUAAGUGGUGCUAACUCGCAGCUCUGAUAUCUCAGACACAUUCUCUUAUGUGUACCAUCAGAAGACAUGUUCUCUUCAGACUAAGCUCAAGGCUCUUUGGUAACAUUCAUAAAUGGGAAAAAUCAUGGGAGACAAAGGCCACGUAGCUUUGUUCCAAGAAGUAAGUCUAGAGCUGGCUCUGCAAAUGGAGUUGGCAUGUAUGUGAGCUGCUCACAGCUUGCAAAUACCGAGAGGAGUAAAAUGUGCAGAGUUCAUGGGGAAUUUCUAUUGAGCCCCAUGUAGUUACUGAGGCAUUCCUCCUUAAAUUUAAGGG